rnacentral:rRNA from 1 species
AACGAACGCUGGCGGCAUGCCUAACACAUGCAAGUCGAACGAAGCCCUCGGGCUUAGUGGCGCACGGGUGCGUAACACGUGGGAAUCUGCCCUUCGGUUCGGAAUAACAGUUAGAAAUGACUGCUAAUACCGGAUGAUGACGAAAGUCCAAAGAUUUAUCGCCGAAGGAUGAGCCCGCGUAGGAUUAGGUAGUUGGUAGGGUAAUGGCCUACCAAGCCGACGAUCCUUAGCUGGUCUGAGAGGAUGAUCAGCCACACUGGGACUGAGACACGGCCCAGACUCCUACGGGAGGCAGCAGUGGGAAUAUUGGACAAUGGGCGAAAGCCUGAUCCAGCAAUGCCGCGUGAGUGAUGAAGGCCUUAGGGUUGUAAAGCUCUUUUACCAGGGAUGAUAAUGACAGUACCUGGAGAAUAAGCUCCGGCUAACUCCGUGCCAGCAGCCGCGGU